rnacentral:rRNA from 1 species
ACAUGCCUACAACAUAGCGUUAAUGCAUUGGAUUCCAUUACAACUCUGUAGUUAAUAACGCUCAGGAUAAAGUAGAACUGAGAUGGGUGACCACCUGAGAAUUUCUGGUGUUUUACAUACC